GAUGAAGAACGCAGCGAAAUGCGAUAAGUAAUGUGAAUUGCAGAGUUCAGUGAAUCAUCGAAUCUUUGAACGCACAUUGCGCCCGCCAGUAUUCUGCCGGGCAUGCCUGUUCGAGCGUCAUUUCAACCAUCAAGCCCCAGCGCUUGUGUUGGGGGCCUGCGGCUGCCGCAGCCCCCUAAAAGCAGUGGCGGGCUCGCUAUCACACCGAGUGCAGUAGUUCAUCUUCUCUCCGGUCUUGUGAGGCGGGUUCCGGCCGUGAAACACCCCACUACAUUCAAGGUUGACCUCGGAUCAGGUAGGAAUACCCGCUGAACUUAAGCAUAUCAAUAAGCGGAGGA
rnacentral:misc_RNA from 1 species